rnacentral:rRNA from 1 species
ACACAUACGCGUGAAUCAUCGAAUCUUUGAACGCAUCUUGCACCUUUCAGGUCUCCUGAAAGGUGUACUUGUUUGAGUAUCAUAAACACAACUCCAAGGUUACUCUUGGGAAUUGAGACGUCAAGUUAGCUACUAACAUGUGUCUUUUAAGUGAUAUGCAAGUGUUUCUGCAGCAUUCGUGCAGCAGAAAGCCCCUCAAUCAAAAUGUGAGAUAAAUAUCGCACAAAUUAGUGUUGAAAGGGUCAAGCUUUGCUACGCCUAGAGGUGUGUGCGUUCGCGCGCGCACACUUCACCUUUGAUCUGUGAUCUCAAAUCAAGUAAGACUACCCGCUGAACUUAAGCAUAUCAAUAAGCGGAGG